AGAGUUUGAUCAUGGCUCAGGAUGAACGCUGGCGGCGUGCUUAACACAUGCAAGUCGAGCGGGGCGGCGUGAAGUUUCCGGACGGAUCGGCGCCCAGCGGCGGACGGGUGAGUAACGCGUGGGGAACCUGCCCUGUACAGGGGGAUAACAGCUGGAAACGGCUGCUAAUACCGCAUAAGCGCACAGCGCCGCAUGGCGCAGUGUGAAAAGCUCCGGCAGUGCAGGAUGGACCCGCGUCUGAUUAGCUGGUUGGCGGGGUAAGGGCCCACCAAGGCGACGAUCAGUAGCCGGUCUGAGAGGACGGACGGCCACAUUGGGACUGAGACACGGCCCAAACUCCUACGGGAGGCAGCAGUGGGGAAUAUUGCACAAUGGGGGGAACCCUGAUGCAGCAACGCCGCGUGAGUGAAGGAGUAUUUCGGUAUGUAAAGCUCUAUCAGCAGGGAAGAAGGAGACGGUACCUGACUAAGAAGCCCCGGCUAACUACGUGCCAGCAGCCGCGGUAAUACGUAGGGGGCAAGCGUUAUCCGGAUUUACUGGGUGUAAAGGGAGCGCAGACGGCUGUGCAAGUCUGGAGUGAAAGGCCGGGGCUUAACCCCGGGGCUGCUUUGGAAACUGUACGGCUGGAGUGCUGGAGAGGCAAGCGGAAUUCCUAGUGUAGCGGUGAAAUGCGUAGAUAUUAGGAGGAACACCAGUGGCGAAAGGCGGCUUGCUGGACAGUAACUGACGUUGAGGCUCGAAAGCGUGGGGAGCAAACAGGAUUAGAUACCCUGGUAGUCCACGCCGUAACGAUGAUGCUA
rnacentral:rRNA from 1 species